rnacentral:rRNA from 1 species
GAUGAACGCUGGCGGCAGGCCUAACACAUGCAAGUCGAGCGGCAGCGGGAAAGUAGCUUGCUACUUUUGCCGGCGAGCGGCGGACGGGUGAGUAAUGCCUGGGAAAUUGCCCAGUCGAGGGGGAUAACAGUUGGAAACGACUGCUAAUACCGCAUACGCCCUACGGGGGAAAGCAGGGGACCUUCGGGCCUUGCGCGAUUGGAUAUGCCCAGGUGGGAUUAGCUAGUUGGUGAGGUAAUGGCUCACCAAGGCGGCGAUCCCUAGCUAGACUGAGAGGAUGAUCAGGCCAGCCGGAGCUUGGACACGGUCCAGACUCCUAAGGGAGGCGGCAGUGGGGAAUAUGGCACAAUGGGGGAAACCCUGAUGCAGCGAUGCCGCGUGUGUGAAGAAUGCCUUCGGGUUGUAAAGCACUUUCAGCGAGGAGGAAAGGUCAGUAGCUAAUAUCUGCUGGCUGUGACGUUACUCGCAGAAGAAGCACCGGCUAACUCCGUGCCAGCCGCCGCGGUAAAAC